rnacentral:SRP_RNA from 1 species
GCCGGGCGUGGUGGCUCACACCUGUAAUCCCAGCACUCUGGGAGGCCGAGGCAGGUGGAUCACCUGAGGUCAGGAGUUCGAGACCAGCCUGGCCAACAUGGUGAAACCCUGUCUCUA